GGUCCCCUGUAAGAGCAGCCAGUGCUUUUAACCACUGAGCCAUCUCUCCAGCCCCAAGAUAAUUUCAUUUUUAAAGAACUGUGGACAAAGUCUUAAAUGUGCAUUGUAAAGGGUCGAAUUUGAAUCUGAGAAAGUUGCAUUGCCUGGCAUAGGCUGCUGGAAGAGCCUGGGAUUGUAGUGUUUGUCCUGAGAAGUAAAGGUCGAUUAGUGACAGCCAUUUAACACAUGCACACACAUGCACACACACAUAUGCACGCACACACACACAUAUGUAAGCACACACACACAGAUGCACACACACAUGCACGUGCACAUGCUUAUGCACACACACACACACACACACACACACACCAGUGCUGGGGUCAAACCCAGAGCCAUGCACAGUUUCAUGUCAAAAUCCUAUAAGGUGUGGAGGGGCUUAGGAAGUGGUUCAGUAUUAAAUGCCUUGCUCUGCAAGCAAGAGGACUGAGCCUAAAACUCCCACAUAAGUCCCAGGUGUAUCUGAGGUCUCACCUGUAAUUCCAGUCUCAGAAGACAGAGAUGGGAUACCCAGAGCAAGCUCUGGAUUUGACUGACAGAUACCGACCCAAAAGAAUAAGGUGGAAUAGCAGCCAGAGAAUACUCCUGACGUCAACCUCAGGCCUCCACACACAUGUGCACCCACAUAUGAACACGCAAAUACACAAGAAAAGAAGCAAAGCCUUAUUAGGAAAACAUGCUCUGGCCCCCAGCAAGUCCACCUAGCUGAUCCUGCAGUAGGAAGAGGGCUGCAUGGAUGGGGUUCAGGGACUUCCACGACCUCCCAAAAGAAUGUCAAUAGUUGUGAAGCAAAUAAAACCCACGUGGAGCUUGGAGCAAGAUAAAACUUGUUGUGUCCGGCCAGCAGACCACAACCUGGGUUCUAGCCUGGAAAGGCAUUUUGGAAACCUGGAAGAGAAGAGGGGCUAGGUGGCGAGAGAAAAGAAUGUAGCCAAGACAGUUACUCUGAUCAAGGCUCAAAUUUUAUUGUUGCGACACUAGUUAUGAAGGAAAGGGGAGGGGACCCGAUUCCCGCCGAAUAAUCUCUGGUCCAGUAGAAAGGUGCACGUGUGUGGCUCCGCAGGUUCCAGCAGUGGGCGUGGCAGAACGAAUGAGCAGGAAGCUCCACCCCUGAGCAAGCAGGUUUCAGGCUGGGGGAGGGGAGACUACAUUUCCUCCCUUUUAUUAACAAAAUUUAAAAAAAGAAAAAGCUGGCCUGAGGGGGGAAAAAUUAUCUAUGCUCAAUAGUUCUGCCUGGAAUCUAGGGCUAAAGAAAAAACCUGCUUUCGUGGGAUUCCUUAACUUUUCUUAUGGUAAACUGUAUCUGGCUAAGACUGUCCUUUCUUAUCUUAGUAAACAACUAACUGAAAAGCCUGGAGUUGUAGGCUCUGACUUUAUAAUGCUAAUUAGUACUUGGUAGGUAACUUUCUAGUUGAAUUUUAAGUAGGGCGUUGGAACUCUGGCUAAGUUUGACUGAACAAAUGUGAAAUACACUAUAAUAAGAAUAACACUAAGUUGAUAUUCCUCCGCAUUUUUGGAUGAUAGGUGGGAAACAGGGAGAAGGAGUUUGACCGGCUCUUGUAGUACAAGGCCAAUUGGCUUUUUUAUUUGGGUGGGAGGCAGUGAAGGGCUUGCCCUUUCAAUAGUACGCCUCCAAUCUCUCUCCCCCCUAUUAAUUAAGUUAAAUAAGGCAACGCUUAACUGAGGUGAUCAAAUGAUUUUUCUCAUCCGUAGAUGAGUGGGCUUUUAACCUUGGCUUGGGUGGACAUGGACCCGAUUCCUCCCGUGGGUACUGAUAAGACCCACACCUGUGGCUCUGGGUACCUUUUGGGGAGGUGAGGCAGAGCCGAAAAAUAUUUUUCAUUUUUAGCCAAAAUUUGGUACCAACCUCUUUCAAACCGGGUUUAUCUCACAGGAAACUCAGAAAUGGUCAAGCUGGACCUUCCCCUGCAGUGCCUCUGCACCAAGCGAUGCCCAUACUGAAUUUGUACAAUCACAAACCAGUAUGCACAGUUCUGAGUGCUGUGCAGCUCCUAAAGGAGAAUUAUCAACCUCAGAUUUAGCAAGACCUAGGCAAGAAUUAUGUCAUUAGUAACACCACGAUUUGUGGCUAAAAUAGGAGCUGAAAGUCGUUCCUCCUCAUCCCUGUUUUUUCCACAGCCUAAGGACACCUUGCAAAAACUGACCUUUCAAAGGACAAUCUGGAAGUAGUGACAAUGAAUGCAGAAGGUGCCGGACCACGAGCAUCAGUGAGCCAUUGGCUGUUACCCUGCUCUAGAGCAGUGGCUAAGAGACCAGUAUGGGUUACUCAAGAGACAGUGUGAAGAUUUUUCUAACCAUGUGUUACAUUGUGAAAUGAGAAUAAGAGACGCAAGUCACACAGACACACAGUAUACUCUCACAUAGACACGUCCACAUACG
rnacentral:lncRNA from 1 species